GGGGACGCGCACGCCGCCCUCUGACCCCGCAGCGUCGUGGCUAGAGUAGGGUCUGGAGAGAGCUCCCACUGUGGCGAGUCCUGUCGUUGGAUUCCCGCGGCGCCCCGUAAGGCUCCGCCCCGGCGGUGCUACCAAACCCUGUUCGAUUUUAGAAUCGUACAUUCCCAGAGGGAAUCCUAGACCCCUCAUUUUACAGUUGAGGAAACAGGCCCAAGUAGCAUGACUUGUUCGCGCCGCUAGUCGAAGGAGCAGCAGCCCCGAUCCCUUGACUCUGGGGCACUGCUUUCCCUUUAGCUCAUUUUUGGAGGAAAUGGGUGCGCCCUUGCUCGACCUUUGGUGAUUGCCGCCACAGGCCUUCCCGCCGGCUAACUCAGCGUGCCCAAGUCCCGUGACUUAGUGCCAGGACGGUGCUGUGACCCGUUAUCCCCUGUCGGGUUUUACCUCCCCCCGGGAGAGCUCAGCCCUGGAUCCCGGCGGGCGGCGGAGCCUCUCUGGAGCCCGGACGGGACAGCCCACCAGGGUCUGCUUCUGUGAGGGGCCGAGGCGUCAUUCCGCGAAGCCUUCUCCUUGCUGUUGCCAUGUGAAGAAGGAUGUGUUUGCUUCCCCUUCUGCCAUGAUUGUAAGUUUUCUGAAGCCUCUCCAGCCAUGCCAAACUCAUUUUGCACAGAGCUUGGCAGUUACAUAGUAGAUGUUGAACAAUUUCUUCUGUGUUUCAGCUGUCAAACUGUUCUGAAUGUGUGAGGCUCUUCAUUCGAUGUACAAAAACCACAAGAUUAUCUAAAUAGAUGCAGAAAAGGCCUUCGAUAAAAAUCCUCAUUCCUUCAUGUUAAAAACUCUCAAUAAACUAGGUAUUGAAGGAACAUACCUCAAAAUAAUAAGAGCCAUUUAUGACAAACUCACAGCCAGUGUCCUUACUGAAUGGGCAAAAGCUGAAAGCAUUCCCCUUGAAAACCAGCACAAGACAAGUUUGCCCUCUCUCCCAACCCCUAUUCAAUAUAGUAUUGGAAGUUAUGGCCACGGCAAUCGGGCAAGAGAAAAAAAUGAAGAGUAUUUAAAUGGGAAAAGAGGAAGUCAAACUAUCUUUUUUUGCAGGUGACAUAAUCCUAUAUCUAGAAAACCCAUUGUCUCAACCCAAAAGCUUCUUAAGCUGAUAAGCAACUUCAGCAAAGUCUCAGGAUAAAAAAUCAAAGUGCAAAAAUUGCUAUACACCAACAACAGGCAAGCCAAGAGCCAAAUCAUGAAUGAGCUUUGAUUCACAAUUGCUACAAAAAGAACAAAAUACCUAGGAAUACAGCUAACAAGGGAAGUGAAGGACCUCUUCAAGGAGAACUACAAAGCACUGCUCAAAGAAAUCAGAGAUGAUGCAAACAAAUGGAAAAACGUUCCAUGCUCAUGGAUAGGAAGAAUCAAUAUUAUGUAAAUGGUCAUACUGCCCAAAGCAACUUAUAAAUUCAAUGUUAUUCCCAUUAAAUUACCACUGACAUUCUUCACAUAAUUAGAAAAAACUAUUUUGAAAUUUAUAUGGAACCAAAAAAGAGCCUGAAUACUGAAAGCAAUCCUUAGCAAAAAGAACAAAGGUGGAGGCAUCAGGCUAGCUGACUUCAAACUAUACGAUAGGGCUACAGUAACCAAAAUAGCACGGUACUGGUACAAAAACAGAGACAUAGACCAAUGGAAAAGAAUAGAGAAUACAGAAAUAAGACUGCACACCUACAACUGUCUCAUCUUUGACAAACCUGACAAAAACAAGCAAUGGAGAAAGGAUUCCCUAUUUAAUAAAUGGUGCUGGGAGAACUAGCUAGCCAUAUGCAGGAUAUUGAAACUGGCACCUUCCUUACGCCUUACACAAAAAUCAACUCAAGAUGGAUUAAAGACUUACAUGUAAAACCCCAAACUAUAAAAACACUAGAAGAAAACCUGGGCAAUACCAUUUAGGAUAUAGGCAUUGGCAAAGAUUUCAUGAUGAAAACACUAAAAGCAAUUGCAACAAAAGCAAAAAUUAGCAAAUGGGUCUAAUUAAACUAAAGAGCUUCUGCACAGCAAAAGGAACUAUUAACAGAGUAAACAGACAACCUACAGAACGGGCGAAAAUUGUUGCAAUCUAUGUAUCUGACAAAGCCCUAAUAUCCAGAAUCUAUAAGGAACUUAAACAAAUUUACAAAAAAAAGCAACCCCAUUAAAAAGUGGGCAAAGGACAUGAACAGACACUUCUCAAAAGAAGACAUACAUGUGGCUAACAAACAUGAAAAAAGCCUUCACAUCACUAAUUAUUAGAUAAAUGCAAAUCAAAACCAAAUGAGAUACCAUCUUACAUCAUUCAGGAUGGUGAUUAUUAAAAAGUCAAAAAAUGACAGAUGCUGAUGAGGAUGUGAAGAAAAAGGAACACUUUAAUACUGUUGGUGGGAGUGUAAAUUAGUUCAACCAUUGUGGAAAACAGUCUGGUGAUUCUUCAAAGACAAAGAGGCAGAAAUACCAUUCUACCCAGCAAUCUCAUUACUGGUUAUAUACUCAAAGGAAUAUAAAUCAUUUUCUUAUAAAGACACAUGCACAUAUAUGUUUAUUGCAGCACUAUUCACAAUAGCAGACAUAGAAUCAACCUAAAUGCCUAUCAGUGAUAGAUUGGAUAAAGAAAAUGUACAUAUACAACAUGGAAUACUAUGCAGGCAUAAAAAGGAAUCAGGUCAUGUGCUUCGCAGGGACAUGGAUGGAGCUGGAGGCCAUCAUCCUUAGCAAACUUACACAGGAACAGAAAACCAAAUACUGCAUGUUCUCACUUACAAGUGGGAGCAAAAUGAUGAGAAUACAUGGACACAUGGCGGGGAACAACACACACUAGGGUGUGUUGGAGAGUAGGGAGAGGAUCAGGAAGAAUAACUAUUGGAUAAUGGGCUUAAUACCUGGGUGAUAGGAUGAUCUGUGUAGCAAACCACCAUGGCACACAUUUACCUAUGUAACAAACCUGCAUAUCCUGCACAUGUAUCCCUGAACUUAAAAUAAAAGUUGGAAAUAAAAAAAAAAGAGUGAUUAUGUCAGGGACUAGGUGGUAGCUGUGGAGAUGAUGAAAAGUGGUCAGAGUCUAGAUGCAUUUUGAGGGUGGGCUUGAUUGGCUGGUGGAUUAGAUGUGAAGGAUGAGAGAAGAAAAAGGUACUAGGAUGACUCUAGAGUUUUUGCCUUGAACAAGAAAAAAGGAUGAAUGCCAU
rnacentral:lncRNA from 1 species